rnacentral:tRNA from 1 species
GGGGAUGUAGCUCAGUUUGGGAGAGCACUACGUUCGCAACGUAGGGGUCGAGGGUUCGAGUCCCUUGUGCUCCA